rnacentral:rRNA from 1 species
GACGAACGCUGGCGGCGUGGAUUAGGCAUGCAAGUCGAACGGUAUCAUCCUUUCGGGGGUGAGAGAGUGGCGAACUGGUGAGUAACACGUAGGUUAUCUACCCUCAAGACGGGGACAACCCAGGGAAACUUGGGCUAAUACCGGAUGUGAGCAACUUUUAGUUGUUUGAAAGGUGGCGUAAGCUGUCGCUUGGGGAUGAGCUUGCGUCCUAUUAGUUAGUUGGUGAGGUAACGGCUCACCUAGGCAAUGAUAGGUAGGCGGCCUUAACGGGUGGUCGCCCACACUGGGAUUGAGAUACGGCCCAGACUCCUACGGGAGGCAGCAGUCGAGAAUAGUCUACAAUGGUCGGAAGACUGAUAGUGCGACGCCGCGUGAACGAUGAAUCCCUUCGGGGUGUAAAGUUCUUUUAUAUGUGAGCAGUGCUUCUUAUAUUAACAGUAUGGGGAGAGAGAUAUUAGCAUAUGAAUAAGCAACGGCUAACUCCGUGCCAGCAGCCGCGGUAAACUCGU